rnacentral:lncRNA from 1 species
CUGGGGUAUUAGUGCCCCAGGGACCCCUGAAGUUUGUUACUGCUGCUCUGAAGCUUUUCAGCAUUUCUUGAAAUAAUGAAUUCCAGUAACACUGAUAGCUCUUGGCCGGCCCACCAUGAAGCCCUUGAUCCCAGCCUGGCUGAGAAUAGACUGUUUCACACAUCACUAACUCUGCCCCAGCCUCUGGCUCAGAGCUAGUAGCAGGACAUGAAGGUUUA